rnacentral:rRNA from 1 species
CGGACGGGUGAGUAACGCGUCAGAACCUACCUUUCGGAGAGGGACAACCAUUGGAAACGAUGGCUAAUACCUCAUAAUACUGAGAAGUUAAAUGAUGAAAAUCGCCAAGAGAUGGGCUUGCGGCUGAUUAGCUAGUUGGUGAGGUAACUGCUCACCAAGGCAAUGAUCAGUAGCUGGUCUGAGAGGAUGAUCAGCCACACUGGGACUGAGACACGGCCCAGACUCCUACGGGAGGCAGCAGUGAGGAAUUUUCCGCAAUGGGCGAAAGCCUGACGGAGCAAUGCCGCGUGAAGGAUGAAGGCCUAUGGGUUGUAAACUUCUUUUCUCAGAGAAGAAAUUUUGACGGUAUCUGAGGAAUAAGCAUCGGCUAACUCUGUGCCAGCAGCCGCGGUAAGACAGAGGAUGCAAGCGUUAUCCGGAAUGAUUGGGCGUAAAGCGUCUGUAGGUGGCUUAAAAAGUCUCCUGUCAAAGAUCAGGGCUUAACCCUGGGCCGGCAGGAGAAACUCUUAGGCUAGAGUUUGGUAGGGGCAGAGGGAAUUCCCGGUGGAGCGGUGAAAUGCGUAGAGAUCGGGAGGAACACCAAAGGCGAAAGCACUCUGCUGGGCCACAACUGACACUGAGAGACGAAAGCGAGGGGAGCAAAAGGGAUUAGAUACCCCUGUAGUC